UACGUAGGUGGCAAGCGUUAUCCGGAUUUAUUGGGUGUAAAGGGCGUGUAGGCGGGAGCGCAAGUCAGAUGUGAAAACUCAGGGCUCAACCCUGAGCCUGCAUUUGAAACUGUGUUUCUUGAGUGCUGGAGAGGCAAUCGGAAUUCCGUGUGUAGCGGUGAAAUGCGUAGAUAUACGGAGGAACACCAGUGGCGAAGGCAGAUUGCUGGACAGUAACUGACGCUGAGGCGCGAAAGCGUGGGGAGCAAACAGG
rnacentral:rRNA from 1 species